UACGGGGGGGGGCAAGCGUUUGUUCGGAAUUACUGGGCGUAAAGGGCUCGUAGGCGGCCAACUAAGUCCGACGUGAAAUCCCCAGGCUUAACCUGGGAACUGCGUCGGAUACUGGAUGGCUUGAAUUCGGGAGAGGGAUGCAGAAUUCCAGGUGUAGCGGUGAAAUGCGUAGAUAUCAUUUGGAACGCCAAUGGUGAAAACAGCUCGCUGGGGGGUUUGCUGACGCUGAGACACGAAAGCCAGGGGAGCAAACGGGG
rnacentral:rRNA from 1 species